AAUAAUAGUAUUGUACCAUUUAUAUAUGUUAUAGGGAUUGCAAAAUGCAAACACAUUGAACAUAUAGUCAUUUAUAGACACAAUAUGGUCAAGAACAUUAAUAUACACAAUAAUUGAGUAUAUUAUGUAUUUACACAGGCUCCAAAACAUGUACAGUAGUACUUUGAAACCUGUACUAGCUAGUACUAGCUGUAAUUUGACCAAUCUGCCAAAGUGCUCUAUACGAGCUAUUAAACAAGUACUUUGCUGGAGCCUGGCCAUAACGUAUCUAGAUGGACUAAUUGGCAGCCUGGAAAAGACCAGCCUGGCUGGUCGAUCGGAUAAGGAGAGAAUAACUAGGAGAGAGAGAGCGACUCAAGCCACGUCCGAAUCCCCAAUCCUUUGACCAACACACGCGGAGGCUCCCAUGGCCGCUCGGCCGCAUCAACGCGGAGAGGUGCUCCCGCCGUGCUCUUCCUCGUCGGAGGAGCCGCCGGGGAGGCGGGUGCUAAGCACAGCGCCAUUGGGGAGGCCAAGGGAGGCGGGCUCCCAUGUGCCUGCGCGGAAACCGUGCUAGUGGGAGGCCAUUGCCGCCGCGGCGCAGGAUGCGGCGAGCUUCGGGUGGCGGCGUCGGUGGCCGCGCUGGUGACGGGAGGUCUCCGUCGGCUGCCGCCGGGUCGUUCCGGACGGCGCGCGUCGCCCAACCGCUGGUCGUGAAGACCAAGCGCGCCAGGAGCACCACCGUGCCAGGAGGCCGCGGCCGCGUACACGGCGGACCGCAAGGAUGCAAGCCGUGCUAUACCGCGGGCAUGGCUACAGCCGAGGCAAGCGCGGAUGCGAGCGUUGCGGAGACUCAAUUCACUCGGUGGCGAGCGUGAGCGCUGCCGGGCUCCAUUUGCCGGUGCGGCCGGAGUAGCAUCUUGGCGGCGGGACGCCAAUGGCAGGAGACGGCGGCGAGCGCCCGUGCGCGGCGAAGAUGGAGUGGUGGCCGGCGGCGACGGGGAUGAUGGCCACGGCCUCCGCCGGGGGUACCUGCAUCUAGUCCGAAGGCGGCCGCACGCGCUGGGUACCAUCGCCGAUGGGCCAUGGUCCGCGCGCCGUCACCUCGUCCUCCAGGCACCGACCUCUCCCUUUCUUCCGUUCUUCUUUUCCUGUGAUUCUGGGCAGAGCUCUCGGCAGAGCAAGUGCUGAUAACGUGUUGAAUGUAAAUGAGAAUGAAUCGAACUUCUAUCUUUCAUUGAUCA